rnacentral:rRNA from 1 species
AAGGGUGGGACCUCUUGGCCACCUGCCAUAAGAUGAGCCCAAGUGGGAUUAGGUAGUUGGUGGGGUAAAGGCCUACCAAGCCUGCGAUCUCUAGCUGGUCUGAGAGGAUGACCAGCCACACUGGAACUGAGACACGGUCCAGACUCCUACGGGAGGCAGCAGUGGGGAAUAUUGCGCAAUGGGGGGAACCCUGACGCAGCCAUGCCGCGUGAAUGAAGAAGGCCUUCGGGUUGUAAAGUUCUUUCGGUAAUGAGGAAGGGAUGUUGUUAAAUAGAUGGCAUCAUUGACGUUAAUUACAGAAGAAGCACCGGCUAACUCCGUGCCAGCAGCCGCGGUAAUACGGAGGGUGCGAGCGUUAAUCGGAAUAACUGGGCGUAAAGGGCACGCAGGCGGACUUUUAAGUGAGAUGUGAAAUCCCCGAGCUUAACUUGGGAAUUGCAUUUCAGACUGGGAGUCUAGAGUACUUUAGGGAGGGGUAGAAUUCCACGUGUAGCGGUGAAAUGCGUAGAGAUGUGGAGGAAUACCGAAGGCGAAGGCAGCCCCUUGGGAAUGUACUGACGCUCAUGUGCGAAAGCGUGGGGAGCAAACAGGAUUAGAUACCCUGGUAGUCCACGCUGUAAACGCUGUCGAUUUGGGGAUUGGGCUAUAUGCUUGGUGCCCGAAGCUAACGUGAUAAAUCGACCGCCUGGGGAGUACGGCCGCAAGGUUAAAACUCAAAUGAAUUGACGGGGGCCCGCACAAGCGGUGGAGCAUGUGGUUUAAUUCGAUGCAACGCGAAGAACCUUACCUACUCUUGACUCC